rnacentral:rRNA from 1 species
CCUACGGGGGGCUGCAGUGGGGAAUAUUGGACAAUGGGCGAAAGCCUGAUCCAGCCAUGCCGCGUGUGUGAAGAAGGCCUUCGGGUUGUAAAGCACUUUCAGUGGGGAAGAAAGCCUUGGGGCUAAUACCCUCGAGGAAGGACAUCACCCACAGAAGAAGCACCGGCUAACUCCGUGCCAGCAGCCGCGGUAAUACGGAGGGUGCGAGCGUUAAUCGGAAUUACUGGGCGUAAAGCGCGCGUAGGCGGUCUGAUAAGCCGGUUGUGAAAGCCCCGGGCUCAACCUGGGAACGACAUCCGGAACUGUCAGGCUAGAGUGCAGGAGAGGAAGGUAGAAUUCCCGGUGUAGCGGUGAAAUGCGUAGAGAUCGGGAGGAAUACCAGUGGCGAAGGCGGCCUUCUGGACUGACACUGACGCUGAGGUGCGAAAGCGUGGGUAGCAAACAGGAUUAGAUACCCGUGUAGUC